rnacentral:rRNA from 1 species
AUGGCGUCGUGGGACGAGCUCGUGGACUCCACGCUCGCGACUCUGGCCGGCAAGAACCUGCUCUUCAUGCAGCGCCUCAUCACCCUUCCGCCGCCGGUGCCGCCCUCCAGGACCUUCGCCGGGCCGGGGCCCUGGGACCGCCCCACCGUCGAGAUCCGGCUCGACGGCGCCUCCACCCAAGAAUGGCUCGCCCUAAAUGGCUUGGUCAGCGAGGAGGGAGACGAGGUGGACCGGAAGGUGGUCCUCUUCUCCGGGAACGACUACAUCGGCCUCGCCACGCAUCCGGCAGUCCUUGAGGCUGCGGCCAAGGCAGCUCAAGGCCCGGGCAUGGGGCCGAGGAGCUCCUCCUUGAUCUUUGGGUACACUACUUACCACAAACUGGCCGAGGAAUCACUCGCGGAUCUGCUCAAAAUGGAGGAUUGCCUUCUUUGUCCCACCGGAUAUGCUGCCAACACGUCCGUCAUGUCCGCAAUAGGUAGCAUCAUCUCUCUCUCAGCUACCGGGAGAAACGCGGCGCAGGAUGAGAGGAUCGCCAUCUUCUCGGAUGCGUGGAAUCAUGCCUCCAUCAUCGAUGGGAUCCGCCUUGCGGAGAGGCAGCAGGAAGCAGUGGCCUUUGUGUACAAGCACUGUGACAUGUCACACCUUGAGUCCUUGCUGUCCGGCUGCUCAAUGGCAAAGAAAGUUGUUGUCACAGAUAGUUUGUUCAGCAUGGACGGGGAUUUUGCUCCAUUGCCUGAACUUGUCAAAUUGCGCAGCAAAUAUGGAUUCUUGUUGGUCGUGGAUGAUGCACAUGGAACAUUUCUUUGCGGCGAGAACGGUGGUGGCAUACCUGAGAUGUUUGGGUGUGAAGAUGGCAUUGACAUAUGUGUUGGCUCCUUGAGCAAGGGCGGUGGUUGCCAGGGUGGUUUCAUAGCAUGCAGCAUUAGAUGGAAGAAGCUGAUCAUAUCGCGAGGUCGUCCAUUCAUGUUUUCGUCAGCUUUGCCACUGCCCAUUAUUGCUUCUCUGCUUGGUAACAUCUAUCAUUCCUCUGCGAUCCAUGUCUCGAAGAAGGAGGGAUGGCGAAGAUCACUUGUUUGGGACCACGUGAAGUACUUUGCUUCUUUGACAAAACUCAACAUAACUAGUCCCAUCAUUCCCAUUAUAGUUGGAACCGAAGAAGCAGUGCUCAAGGCUCACAGGCACCUUCAUAGAUCUGGAUUUCUUGUCAUCCCAAUCAGGCCACCAGUAGUGCCAGCCAACUCAUGCAGGCUGCGAGUUAGUCUUAGCUCAGCUCAUACCUCAGAUGAUAUCAAAAGGCUGGUUGAUGCGCUCUCUCCCUGGCUCCCCACUUGCGCUUCAGCUUCAAGGUUAUAA